UACGGUCAAAUCAUGCCGAAAACACUGGUUAUCGUUCGAUCGCUAAAGUUAAGCAGUGCCGAGCCUGAUCAGUAUUUAGAUGGGAGACCACUUGGAACACCAGUUACUG